UUCCUUCCCCUGGGUCUGGGAGGAGCCUGAGAUCCUGCACCUCUGCCAGCUCCCAGGCAGCACCUCCUGCUGACCCAGA
rnacentral:miRNA from 1 species